rnacentral:lncRNA from 1 species
UGGGGUCUUGUGCUGUGUAUAUAUUCAUUGCUUAACAGCUCUCACAGUGAAGGCUUCGCUUGCGUUCCCUAUUUGGCAGGAACGCCUCUUAGGGACGCAGUGGGAAUUUGAAGCUGGCGGGCACGCUGCUUGAGGUAUGCUGUGAGUAUAUACUGUAUAUUGUGUGGUAUAAGAUACCUGCACGUGGGGUGCUUGGACCCAUACGGCUAUGGCUUCAUGCAGUUCACCACCGGCAUCGCCGGAAUCCACCAGCUUUGGCCGCACACAACAGACAAUUCAGAUCCAGGUAGGUAGUGUCUUUGGGGAAACAUAGCUGUUUUCUGGUGAGCUGAGCACCUGGCAGACCCAGGGGCCAGGCACCUGGCAUUUAUUACGACCGCGUGCCGCACCACGUGAGAAGGUUUCACUCCAUGCGCUUGCAUUCCGCCAGGGGCCUACUGCUGUUCGGCCUUGCCAAAAACUGCUUUUGGAGCUGACCAGGUGAAACUCUCGAAGCCAGUGCCCCGUCGUUCGAUGGAUGGAUGUAACUGACGGCCGCUCACUGUUAUCCGUUCUUACUGCCAGCAUCCUCCGCCCCGGGCUCUGACCGCCGUCUUCGCCGUCAC